ACCCCUGAAGAAUUCCAAGCUCAAAACCCUUUACCCCUGAAGAAUUCCAGGGAUCCUCGACAGGGGGGGUACGGAUAUUAAAUGGAAUAGCCCAAUCUCGAUACAGUUGGCGUCUUGGCGAUGUGUCGGAAAUCAAAAGAUCUCGCUAUUUCGUUCCAAUUCCACAUCUCAUCAAUAAAUAUAUUCUUUUGCAUGGUCCGAGUAUCAGGAUAUACUUUAGUACUAACAGUUAAAUAAAUAUAAACCACAUUGGUCGGUCUAGAGAUAUGAAUUUUCUUGUAGGCUUUAUAUUGCCACGCCGCCCAGGCGUGCUUUGUAAGUUGAAAUCUGAUCCAACUUGCUUGAAUUGUAACUCGACACUAGAUUAUAGAGCAGAAAGUCUCAUCACGAUAAAUAUUUAUUUUUAAUUGCAG